CUUAUCUUAGUCUAUUCAAAGCCCAACAUACAUUUACAUAUACAAAACCUCAUAUUCAUCUUCAAUACCUUAGUCUUCAAUUCUCUUCAGACACCCCCCUCUUUCAGUCCCUUCCAGAACCCCUUUGUCAUGCUAUAGAAAUGCCUCAACCCUCUUAGACAGCAUCCAGUUCCUUUUACAAUGCUCAAACCCUUUCACAGAGCAUUCAAUCCCCUUCCUAAUGCUAUAACCCUUCAUCAAGAGGUUCAGAUUCCUUUUACGAUCCCCUAAUGGUUUUUGAACAGCGUCUGAACCACAGAGUUAUACACAUAGAGGGUUACCAGAGCCUGGAUUUUGAAGCAACUGGCGGCCAUCUUAGGGUGUCGGAUGGCGCGACAAACUCAACAUCACAUAGCUAAGUCUGCUACUGCUAUUGUGAAGUUACCAGCGCCUCGGCGAUCCUCUGUCAGAUAGACUUGUUAUUUUCCUGUCCAAUUUUUACCCCCUAAUUAUUGUCACAUUGGUACAGGUCAUAUACCAUCUGAGUCGGAAAAAUGUGCUGAAUUUGAAACUGUAAACGAAAAUCUAAUGCAAUAAAAAGUACAUGAAUGACAAGGAGUUGAAACACGAAAGGUGAACUAAAAUGUUUAUACAAUACCAUAAUUUUUUCUCAUUAUUUUAUUGUUGGUAUACCUAAGUGCAAUAAAUCUGUGAUCAUGAUAUACAGCAAUGUCUCAUCAACACAAUGAUCGGCUCAGUUUUCCAAAAUAUCACAAUGGUGUCUAGCUAAUAGUGGUUAACCGUGUAGCAGCGACGGGCCAAAUUUGUGGCUUUACCGUGUAGCAGUGACGGGCCAAAUUUGUGGCUUUACCGUGUAGCAGUGACGGGCCAAAUUUGUGGCUUUACCGUGUAGCAGCGACGGGCCAAAUUUGUGGCUUUACCGUGUAGCAGCGACGGGCCAAAUUUGUGGCUUUACCGUGUAGCAGUGACAGGCCAAAUUUGUGGCUUUACCAUGUAGCAGUGAUGGGCCAAAUUUGUGGCUUUACCGUGUAGCAGCGACGGGCCAAAUUUGUGGCUUUACCGUGUAGCAGUGACGGGCCAAAUUUGUGCCAUGAUUUAAACCCAAAAAAAUAGAUGAUACAUAAACUGAUCACAAAUGCUUCGAUAUAUAUUAUGAAAUGGUUUGUAUGAGGGGUGAUUUUUUCUCAUUUUUCUCACUUAGAGGGACCAUUAAGAAACAUGAUCCCCGCUGCUACCGGGUUGACAGCAUUUUGAUCCCCCAACUGUUAGCUUCUCCCUAUUAAAGCAGCAUCACUUCUAUUUAAAAUGUCUGGUUAAAUUCCCUAUCCAGCAGUCUUAGAUCCCCUUCAUAAUGCCCUCAUCCUUCUAACCCCUUCACUCCAGCAAUGUUAGUCCUCUUCUAGACCUCAUUCUUAGGUUUAUAAAGAGCAUCUAAUCCCCUUCCUAAUGCCCUAACCCUCUUUAACAGCAUCCAAUCCCUUCCCCCCACUCAGUGCUCUAAUAUUUGUAAACCUUAUGUUCUUAGGUUCGUAAAGAGCAUCUAAUCCCCUUCCUUAUGCCCUAAUCCUCUUUAACAGCAUCCAAUCCCUUUUAACAGAAUCCAAUCCCUUAUGCCCCACACUCAGCUCCUGUUGUUUAAAUGGUCUAACCUUUGUAAACCUCACAUUCUUAGGUUUAUAAAGAGAAUCUAAUCCCCUUCCUAAUGCCCUAAC